rnacentral:lncRNA from 1 species
AAAGCACAUUCCCUGUCAGAGGUAAGAGAUCAACUGGGGAUUUAAAUAACUGCUCUGGGAGAGGUUUAGGCAAAAUCCUGUGAGACAGAAGGAAAACCAGCCCAGUUUUACAACUGGACACUCCAUUUGGAAAGUAGAUGUGUUUUACUUGGUCUUGUGACAGUACCAUGAUGUUGAGUGUGUGGUCUGCUGUGUAUGAGAAGGUGUCACAGUGCCACAGAGGACCUGCAAGUUGGUAGCUCCAGAGGGCAGUGGCUGGGGAGGACGCACAGUGUGUACCCUGCUCCAGGUAUGAGGCCUUAGAUUUAGACCUCACUGUGCCACUCUUACCCCCUGUAAAAUAGAAAUGGCCCCAACCCAGUGGCUGAUAUUUGAGCACUCUGCAGACUGUGAUAUUUUCUGGAAGGCAGUGCUUAUAAUUCGUUUUAUAUUUAUAUUUAUUUUUAAAAAUCAAGGUCUGUCCUCUGGAGGACCACCAUCAGCAACCCACCUGCUUGGAUCAGGGCGGAAGAUGCAGCACCCUCAAAGGCAUUGGUAUUGCUUUCCCAUGAGCCUCAUUCCUGAGAAGAAAUUUUGGGAUCACAGGUUCUCCCCAGGAAGCUCGAUGAACAACAACAGCUCUGCGAGUGUGACUUGUUAUUAGGUGGCCUGCUCCACUUCCCAACCUUAAUGAUAAUAACGGCUAACAUUUAUGGAACACCCACCAUCUGCCCUGAAGUGUGAACAGUCAUAUUCCAACUCCUCCAUUGGCCCACUUACUCCUUAAAAUGGUUUUAUGAUUUGGACGUUACUACUUCUCCCUGAUUUACAGAGGGGGAAGCUGAGGAACAGAAAGGGUAACCUACCGACUCUCACACACCAAGUGAAUGGCAGAAGUGGGAUUUGAACCUGAAGGUCUAUCUCAACAGCCUGUACUCCCACCCACCUACAAUAUGAUUUUGUUAAUAAUGUUUCCAUGUUGGGUUCAGCUCUGCUUUAUUCUUUCUAAUGUUUAGUCUUUGUUAUUUCCAGGGAUUUGUCACAGAUCCAUUGAAGUCCUUAAAAUCUUAGAAUCAUAAAAUCUUAGAAGCCGGGGAUUCUUUACAAAUUAGCUGGAUGACCAGUCAAAUGCAAUUUGUAGGUAGAGAAUUUCAAUUCCAUGCCCACAUACCGAUAUUCCAAUAUUAAAUACUUAAAUAUCAGAAAUAUCAGAAAUCAACUAGCAUGUUUAACUGAGAGCUCUCUUAUUUCAAGAUGAAAAUCUCUCGAAUCUCUUCCCCAUUUCUUCUACAAAACCACCCCAUUUUCCAUAACUCAGUUUUCUCUACUCUUUUAUACAGACACGGCGCUUAGUAGUCACUUUUGAAAACACAGCACUCAGAAGUGCACAAAGCCUUCCAGUGGGGACGUGCCCACAGUCGAGUGGGAUGAUCAAACCUCUGGACCACGGAGCUAUGAUUCUGUGAGUAGUGACUCACCACAGAUGGCUCAGUGGCAGGUGUAGAUGGCUGUGAGGCUGCCGUAUUAAUAGUGGAGAGGGCACACUGCUCAGUGACCUGGGAGUUGCCUUCCCCAGAUUCCGUCAUUGUUGGAAAUCAUGUACAUACACCUGUACUCACAUACACACACACACACACACACUCACAUACACACACAUAUACACACACACACACUUAGGACUUCAAGUUUUCAGAGACCAUUCCAGCCUGAUGUAUUAUCAUUUUACUAUUAAAAUAAUAAUGUAGUUAGUGUGUUUUUCUCAAUAACUCCUUGAAUUUCAGCUCCUUUUGUCACCCCCCAUUUACAGUUAAGGUGAUCCAUGACCGAUCUCAAAACUCUUGUAGAAGAUGGUACAUAUCCAUUUCCUACUCCUAAUUAUCUUAUUCUCUGUUAUUCCUGAUUCAUCAAGUAACCCCAAAAUCAUUGUGUUGACUUUCCUGGAGUUGUCAUUCCUUUC